GGCCUUGCACUGACACCACACACUAAAACCCUGAAUCCAUACUGAGAUUACCAGGGUCCCUGAGCAAGGAUGAUCUGUAAAUUCAUGAGGCAGUUAUU
rnacentral:snRNA from 1 species